rnacentral:rRNA from 1 species
GACGAACGCUGGCGGCGUGCUUAACACAUGCAAGUCGAACGGACUACUUUGCUUCGGUAAGGUGGUUAGUGGCGAACGGGUGAGUAACGCGUAGACAACCUACCUCUUAGAUGGGGACAACAUCGCGAAAGCGGUGCUAAUACCGCAUGAAGUGCCUUUCCGGCAUGGGAGAGAUACUAAAGGUGGCCUCUAUUUAUAAGCUACCACUGAGAGAUGGGUCUGCGUCUGAUUAGCUAGUUGGCGGGGUAACGGCCCACCAAGGCGACGAUCAGUAGCCGGUCUGAGAGGAUGAACGGCCACAUUGGGACUGAGACACGGCCCAAACUCCUACGGGAGGCAGCAGGGGGGAAUCUUCCGCAAUGGACGAAAGUCUGACGGAGCAACGCCGCGUGAGUGAAGAAGGUUUUCGGAUCGUAAAGCUCUGUUGUUUGAGACGAAUGUGCCUGUUUCGAAUAGGGAUAGGUAAUGACGGUAUUAAACGAGAAAGCCACGGCUAGCUACGUGCCAGCAGCCGCAGUAACAC